UCUUUGGCAAGUCCAGUAUAAUUACCACCGUUAACACAAGUACUGCCAGUUAAAAGUUAAAAUGAUCCCCCUGUAAGCACAGCGUAGUUGGAGAUUUUUAGUUGGAGUUGGAGCUGUUGUUUGCGUUAGGGUGGGGUGUCAGGAGGCUAUUGUGUCUAGGGGAGCUUGAUUUCACAAUCCUUCCAUGUGUACUCACACACACACACACACACACACACACACAUACAGUAUACACAUGAGAAACAUAUUUACUGACAUGCAUUGGGUGUCACCAAAGAAUCCUUUCUUGUUCAAUCUCUCUCUCUCUCUUUCUCUCUCUAUCUCACACACAAACACACACACAAACUUGAUGUUCGAGUAGUUCAGACUGUGUGUAUUUUUCUCUUGCUGAACAUUUGUUAAACACUGAUUGAGUAAUGAAAGGGAGAACAUGCAAGACAGUUACAGAAGUAGGGUAUGGAGAGGACAUAAAAGCAUGACUUAUAGUUUGCAAGGAGUUGCAGGAGUAGGACAUGGAGAGAACCUGGGAGAUGUGCUUAUAUUAUAACAAUUAUUACAUUCGUUUUCUGUUUCUGAAUGCCUGUUGAGAUAUCUGCAUUUCAAGAGGGUGAUUGGCUGCAAUUGGUGGGUGAUUUAUUUUGCAGACUCAGCAACAGCCUAUCCUGGUGCCCUGCCAUGCUAGAACAAGUGAUGCAACAGCGCCCUCUGUGAUGAAAACAAGAGGAAAUGCCCUGUUGUCUGUACUUCACACAGGCUCAUUCGACUUCAUGCAGUGCAGAUAUGGCUGAAGGAUUCUUCUACUGUUCUGUGAGGGCUAAAACAAGAUGGCUUACAGUAUCUGCCAGACUGACUGCUGCUGUCAGGUAUCUAAAUUAUGUGCUAUGGAUAAUGUGGAGGCUUGUGCUCCUGCCAAAAUGAGUUACUGCUGGAUGGGCCUCUGAUUGGAGCAGUUGGAGG